ensembl:lncRNA
UUUUUUUUUUUAUAAAAAGAUCAAUGAAAAAUUUAUUUAUAAAUUUUGCACUCUGGGGCUACACAUCUAUAUCAUACACUCAGGAAUAUGCUGUACUGUACAGACUUUAUCCAGUUAGAAAUGAUCAUAUAGUGACCCACAUACAGCUUCAAUAUAAGCCUAAAAAUUCUUAACAUUAAUUAACAUAAUUAAAAAAGGUAUUUGCAUCUAAAGAAAAAUCUACAGAAAAACUCCUUUCUGGAGCAAUCUGUGCAUCAGCUUCAAUGUCUGCUUAUUUCACUGACAUUAUCAAUAUAUUCUUCUUACAAAAAUAACAAUAAUAAUUAAAAAAUGACUGCUGGAAGGCAACCAGUCAUGCACAAAACAGCCUCCCCCACCUGCCUCUUUUUUUUUUUCCUGUGUACUCCCCGUUUUGGCGUGAAGGGUCAGCAGCAUGAUGAGCCAACAAGGGGGGUGGGGGGACCCUCAUUUCAAUUUGAAUCAAUCUGCAUCCCUUUUACUUCUCAGGAUCAAGAGAGAUGGGGGUGUGGGGGUUGCAUAGAAAAUUGAAACUCUAGGGACUAGGAAGGGCAGCAGCUUUUCAGUAAAAUACAAAGGGAUGUAAAAAUACAUCAACUCACAAUUUCAGAGCAAACCCCCUUCCCCAAUGUACAGUUUCCCAAAAAUCUCAGCGUGUCUAAAGCUCCAGGAGGCUGAAAAGGAACAAUACUUUUCUUAAACAACUCACCCAGCAAUUCACACAGGAGAUUCACAGUCUUAAUAGGUAUUUUAUAAAAAUAUAAAUAUGGGUUACAUCAUGUUGUCUUUACAACACUGGACAGAGCUCCCUUUAGACUGGGUUUAUAACCAAGAUUUCUUUUUUAAAAUCCAUCUAGAACUUGGCUUUACAAUACACUUUUUAAUACCAUGUCAUAAAUGUUAUGACAUUUCAUUGUGGCAAAUCCAUUUACGUAAAAAAAAAAUGUGCAACCAUCUGGUAACAACGAUAAAACCUCACUAGGAAAGGUCUUGUUCCCACCCCGUAACUAUCGCACAGAAGCACCAGUGGAAGUGCUGGACACCCCCUUCCAUGCUCACAGAAAGACUUCAGCCAAGCAGUUCCUUGCAAAUUACAGCAAUAACAGUAGACACUUUUGACAGGGCUUUUUUUUCCCCUUCUUUAAAUCUGGAGCUUUUAAAAUAAUCUCAAAUUAGUGAAGUGGAGAAAGAACAAACACAAAUGAAAAACCCAACAAAAUGCAAACAACUGCAGGUGAAGUUAUCAGAGACAAAGCAGAAUAUUCAGUGCAAUGGGAAAUAAUCAGGGCAGACUCUAGGGGUGUGGUUUUUUUUUUGUUUUUUUUUUUUUUUUUUUUUUUAGUUUUAAGACUAGGAAAAGAAAAAAUGAACAAAAAAAAAAGAGCAUAUAUCCCAAACCAUAUUUUUGAAACACUCACCAUCAGCUUCAAACAAAAUCAGGCUCACAAUCUUCACCCACAAAUAUAUACAGACAUGAUAAAUAGGUAAGACACAACCCCAAUAAACCAGCAGGUAACUAUUUUCUUUUCUUUUUUUUAAUCAGAAUGGUUUGGAUGCAGGGAGCAAGAGAAGAAAAAGUGGGGAGAUGGCAGUGAUACGGAUGGCUUUAGUGCAGACAAGGAGAAGAGGGCUGAAAGACCAGCAGGAGAAAGGAGACUUCUGAACUUUUCUGCAUUUUCCAAAUGGAUGUUUUUGUGCCAUAGCAAUAAAAAAAGCAGCAUUUGCGAUUAUACGUGCAGUCACUUCAAAAUGCACCUUCGGGUGGCUCGCUCUGCUUCCUCCCUUUCCUUUAUAAAGAUAUAUACGGUGGGAAUAUAUAUCUCCUAUAAAAGGCGAGUGAGUGUACGUACGUCAAGUGAAUCGUUCUGCAUUGAGAAGUGUUAUCCAAGUUUCACCAAAAGAAAAAAUAAAAGUUCCCAAACUCUUUUCAGUAGUUUUCCAGCAUCUCUGCAGGCAGCAGAGAGCGCUCGCGCCCCUUUUCUGUGCAAAAGCAAAUCCUCUGCCUCUAGAGUUUAUUUCACUUUUUUUUUUUUUUAAAGAAAAAACAGUCCAGGAUUUGCUAAUCCCCCUUUACACACAAAACCACAAGGACUCAAUGUCUUUUCCUGGGAUCUCACGUGUGCUGAAGAGAUUCAUGGAGUGGGUGAGGAAGCAGACUUUCUUCGGACACCCAAGGAAGAAUCAAAGCAGAAAACCCAAUGCAAAAUCAACCAAACCCAGGAGCAAUCAGGGUGAGAAAACCACGUCUGUCAUAUUCCAACGGAGUUGCCUCGACAAAAAAAACAUCAGCGGCGGGAAAACCUUGGAGAGGAAGAAGACUUUCCUGUUCUUCCUCGCCAGGAAGGCCGCGGCCGGCCGGGAGCCCCAGCCCAUGGACGGGGCAUCGCGCCCCGGUCCGGGGCUGGCACCGGAGAGGGGACCCCAGCAGCAGUGGGGGUCUGCGGGGUGGCCUUCGGGGGGAGUUGAAAUGAAUUAGCUACUGAGCCAGAACACUUUAAAUGGGAGGGUCGGGAGCGAGGGGGGCGGGGAGGGGGAUUAAAUAUUAGCGGAGAGGGAACGGGGCGAGGGGUGUUAAAGCAUCUGCCCAGAUGUCAAACUGAAACCGUGAAUACUGUGAGUGCAGCCGAGGUAGAUGGAAGAAAAAAAAAAAAACACGUUACAGUAGGAAACAACCCUUGGAAGAUUAAAAAAAAACCAAACCAAACAAACAACCAAAAAACUCAAAAAUGUGGCGUGUUCUGC